AAAAUGUUGGUGUUUUCUUCACUGUGCAUUUACCUGCAACACUUUUUUUUUUUUUUUAAGAUUUAUUUAUUACAUGUAAGUACACUGUAGCUGUCUUCAGACACACCAGAAGAAGGCGUCAGAUCUUGUUACAGAUGGUUGUGAGCCACCAUGUGGUUGCUGGGAUUUGAACUCUGGACCUUCGGAAGAGCAGUCGGGUGCUCUUACCCACUGAGCCAUCUCACCAGCCCAGAAACCGGAAUUCUUAACCGCUGAGCCAUCGCUCCAGCCCUUAAUUUGUUUCUGUACCUUCUGGUAUUUCCUAUAAAUGGGAGAACGUCAAGGUUUGAUUAUAUUAAUUUUCAUCAUUUUUGAACAAUAGUUUUUAUAAGGAAGGUGUUCUAUAACAUGUUCCAUCGCAUGUGAGGAGUCACUUGGUUUCUGGUUGUCCUACUAGUGGGGACAUGCAGAUGAGUUAUAGACUCAAGUUGCACUCGUCUGAUUUUCCUUAUUGAAAGUUGCAGCUUUUCUUCUCUAAGUGACUUAAGUAAAAAGGAAAUGCUGUUUGGCACUGCAAACACCCUGUUCUCCAUCAGCCUUUUGCAAACAUCUACCAGCCCAGAGGUGGCAUCACUCACAGUGGGCUUCCCGCCCCCAUUGCUCACUGAAUAAGAAAAUGCUCUGCAGGCAGAUCUUAAGGCGGCAGUUUCUUAACUGAGACUCCCCUCUCGGUUGACUCUAGCUUGUAGUAAAUUGACAUAAAGCUGAACCAGUUGAACAAUGUCGCCUUUCUACUUUUUUUUUCCUUUUCCUUUUGAUAUUAACAUUUAUCAUUUUUUUUUCUAAAAAGAAGAGAUCUUCUUUAUAUUUCUGGCUGUUUUCAAUGUAAAAUUAUUACUAUGGAUAAAUUAGUGUUCUUAGGUAUUCGUUAUGUUUUCAUUUUAACAAAAGUGAGAUAGUAAGCACAUGAGAGAGAGCUUUGGUUAGAAGUGCGGUUGGCUCUUCUGUAGGACCUGAGUUCAAAUCUUAGCAUCUAUGUCCAGCUGGCUUCUGGCUUCCUUGUGUACUGCUCCCAUGCACAAAUAUCCCUUCCCACACAAGAUUAUAGUUUUGUAGCACAUCAUAUUUUACUGAGUUUUAAAAUCAGAUCAUAUUCAUAAAAAACACAGAAGAAUGUGGUAGAUAACUCCCCAUAGUUGAUAUGAUUAUUGCACUAGUCAUAACUAUUUUGACAAAAAUGGUCACUUUGGUUGAAGGUAAUAGGCUCAUUUAGAAUUUUAGUAUGAGGCUGGCUGGCCCAGUGCCUCAGUGGGUAAUGUACUUCAUGAACAAAUUCGGCAGCCUGAUUUUGAGCCUCAAGAUUCAUAAAGUGGUAGAAGAGAGCUGAUUCUAUCAGUUUUUCUCUUACCUAUGCAUGCAUUCCCUCCCCCAAAUAUGUCAUGCAUGCAUACAAUAAUAAUGAACAAAUAAAAAAGAAUUUCUUUUAGUGUCAAUAAGCCCAUGCCUAAUACUAAAUU
rnacentral:lncRNA from 1 species